CGGGCGGUGAACUGCCAGUAGUCCUGCGACUCGAGCAGGGCCUCGUAGCUGAAGUGGUCGCCGUCCGCGAGGACGUCGAGCACCGUCUGCGCGCCGUACUUGCCCACGCCGAUGCGCUCGACCUUGCCAUGCGCGAUGAGGCAGAUGGAGUCGGCCGGCUUGCCCGCCUCGACGAUGACCUCACCCGCCUUGAGAUCGUGCUGCACGAAGCGGCUCGCCAGCGCCGCGAGGAUCUCGACGUCCUCGAAGCCGCGCAGGAGCGGCAGCUCGCACAGCUCCUGGGGGAUGACCUGGACCUUGGCGCCGGUGUUGGUGAAGGUGAUGCGCCCGUCACCGACUGCGUAGCUCAAGCGGCGGUUGACGCGGAAGACGCCGCCGGAGACCUGCACCCACUGGAGCAUUUUGAGCAGCCAGCGCGAUGUGAUCCCCUGCAUCUGCGGCGGGGACUUCGUGGUCGUGGCGAGGUUGCGGGCCGCCGCCGUGGCAAGGCUCAUCUGCUGCGACGCGC
rnacentral:antisense_RNA from 1 species